rnacentral:lncRNA from 1 species
CCUGCACGAAGUUCGAGCUUUCGGACUGCCCGAACUGCAACAUGUUUAUUAUUCUUUCGGGAAUGGCGGUGAAGGAGCACUUCGGACCGGCUGGAAGAAAGUCACACUCAUCCGAUGUUUGUCACGAAAUUCUCAACCCCGUUAACUUACGAUCGGGUGUGGAGUGAUAUUCUCCAGCGGGCCCGCCUCUGGGUCCCUCACACCACUCCAUUCAUUCCAAAAAUGAUCUACACUGGCAGAUCUAUUUUUAGCGUAUACACAAUAAAUGGAUCCACGCGUACAAAUCGUGGACUCUGCCACGUAGAAAUGAGUUCCUUAGCAUAUCAAUGGCAAAAUAAUUAGAAAACGAAAAUUAAAUUUAAAAGUUGCUACAAUUUCAGAUGGUAAUUUUGUUGCAUAAUGAUAGUCUAAAACGUUAUCAGUUGGCAUCCCUGCAUCUGGAUUGAGGGGCAUAACGCCAGCAGGGAGGUUCCAGACUCUAUCAAAUUGUCGCUCAGUAGAAAAGGCGACAUCAUUGCAAAUUCCAUAUGCAUAAACUGCGAGACAAGGAUAAUACAUAUAGAGAUAGUGUGCAGUAACGAGUCCGAACCAUCUAGGGAGAUUAAUUCCAUCGAUGGCUCGAUGGAAUUAAUCUCCCUGGAAUUAAUGACAUCGAUAAGCUGGUCUCUGUAAAAGUUGGAAAAAUUAUUCGGCACAUCCGUUAGUUGUGACAUUCCCAAAUCCGUUGAUGUAAUAUGAUAUUAUUGAUCCAAUGGGAUAAUCAGCUGUGGAGACAUCAAGUAUGAACUUCCGCUCAUCGGCUGAGAUUUCAAAUCCAUUGGCAUCGUGGAUGUAAAGUAACCUAGCCCAUAAAAUAACCGCAUGAUAGUAACAAAACAUAGCCUCGGAGAUGCGUUUAGCAAACGCGGGACCCGAUGUAUCACAAAAAUGAAUGUACGAGGCACGGCAAAUGGAAUCAAACCCUGUACACUCAGGGUGAAUGGUUCGUAAACCAUGUUGGUCCGAUGUUUCUAGAAUUUCCAGCGGUAAACGUUCUAUCAUCUUUCUCGGCUGUUGGAAUUGUCGAGAGUUGAAUCAGGUUAUUCGGAUUGAGUAAACUUUUGAUGCCAAUACCUUGGGUUUUGUUAAAUAGAUCCGAAGACCUAUUUGAGAUAUUCCUGGGCCUAGAAAAUGGAGCAGGCUAGAUGCUAUUCCUUUGGCCAGUGGUGUCAGGCUUGAAAAACAUGGGUUUAGCGCCCCUGCCACGACCCCUGGUCUGACUACGAUUGCCAGAAAAUGAACCACGACUAGAAAAAUCAGUGUUCAUAAUGAAAUUGGCAAGGAAUAGAAAUCAACCGUAUAUAGACAAAAUAAAUAAAUAAUAUAAAUAUUAAAGUUGCUUUACAGCAGAAAAACUGUACACUAUAUACUGGUACGAGACGGCGUAAUGCCUAAACCCCCCUGAAAUAUCCUAAAUGGUCAGAGAAAAAAAGGGAGGCAUAAUAAUAAUCAUACAUAAAUUGAUAUAUUUAAAUAUACGCAUUAGGUUUGUCCUCCGAUAUACAC